UAGAUGAAGGGAUAGGCCACGAGAGAUCAGCAUCUCUUUUGAAGGAUACUAUUAUGUUAUCCCUACCAAAUAUGGGUCAUGAAUAAGUGGCGUGAAGUUCCUGCCGUUUGUAUCGGCUAUUCAAUGGCUCUUCACACCCUGGGAAGGGUGUUGAUGACUUCUUCUGAUUACUAUCGCAUGGUUGAUUUGGUUUUACUUGAUCUUUAAUGGAAAUGGAUAUUUAAGAUCCUCCAAUUACAAUAGAGGAGAGAUAUCCUAUCGGUUUCUGCUAAACACUGCACUCUCCCUACUCCAGCCAUCUCCAACACGCCCAUAACUUACAAGAAAGUUCAACUCUUAUAAUUGGAGAAAAGAUUGGGAAAGGACCGAAAUAAUAAAGAUGCAGAGAAGAAGAGACGCAACCGUAGGGAGAAAUGAGGUAGAGGUGGAAGCACCUAGGCUA
rnacentral:lncRNA from 1 species